CAGGCUUGUAUCCUGGGGGCUGAUGAGGAGUAGGGUUUCUGACAACUUAAACAGAUCCAGAGUUAGUCGAUCCUAAUCUCAUAAUGGGAGAAGGGAGUACAGUUGAUAUUCUGUAACUGACAACAGUUCGCGGCAACGCAUACUAUUUUUCUCCGCCAAUCUUAUACCGUUGGUAGGGAUCUCUUUCCUACAUGACAGUACUAAUACCCAGGGAAACUGGUCAUCAGGCGAACUGCGGCGUUCUGCUGGCAAAACAUAGCUUCGGUUAUGUCAAUGGCUAUUGGAUUGGUCCAUGAAGCGAAAAAUAGUUUACUGUGUCACUCGUACCGAUAACCGCAUCAGGUCUUCUAGGUAAGUAGCCUAUGGCCAUUGAGGCAUGAUAGUUCAGGGAAUUCGGCCAAUUAGAGCUGUAACUUCGGGAUAAAGCUUGGCUCUGAUGAAAAUCAGAACCGAUUGUUACGCGGAGAGCCCAACUGUUUAAUAAAAACGUAGUGUCGCGCUGUGGUAGUAUAGCCAGUGAACGCGACAUGAAUCCUGCUCAGUGCUGUGUCUGUUAAUAUGGUUCAAGCCAACGAAGCACCGGUAAAUAGCUGGGGUAACUAUGACUCUUAUCAAAGUAGCGAAAUACCUCGUCACUUAAUUAGUGACCUGCAUGAACGGAGCUAUGAGGUUCUCACUGUCCCAAACUGUCUCUCAGCGAACCAACUGUAGUGGGAACGGUCACUAGAUAUCCAGCGGGGAAAGAAGACCCUGUAGAGCUUCACUUUGGUCUAGUCUUGUAUAGUUCCUGCGGGGGUGUAGACUAGGUGGGAGAGCAAUCGAUUCUGAAAAACCACUACCCUGUUUGGAAUUAUGCUUACCUAUCACAAGGAAUAGGACUAGAUAGAAAGUUUGGCUGGGGCGGCACACCUUCGAAAGAGCAGCGAAGGUGUCCUAAGUUGAGCUCAGUGAGGACAGAAAUCUCACGUUGAGGAUAAGGCCAAAAGCUCAAUUUACUGUGCCUUUUUGUACUAGGAUCAGUUACGAAAGUAAGGCCUAACGAUCCCUAAAUAGCCUCAGGUGCGUGAGGAUUGGGGUGACAGACAAGUUACCUCCGGGACAACUGGCUUGUGGCUGCUAAGAGAUCAAAUCAACG
rnacentral:ncRNA from 1 species